rnacentral:rRNA from 1 species
GACGUAGGGCGCGAGCGUUGUCCGGAUUUAUUGGGCGUAAAGAGCUCGUAGGCGGCUUGUCGCGUCGACCGUGAAAACUCACAGCUCAACUGUGAGCCUGCGGUCGAUACGGGCAGGCUAGAGUUCGGUAGGGGAGACUGGAAUUCCUGGUGUAGCGGUGAAAUGCGCAGAUAUCAGGAGGAACACCGGUGGCGAAGGCGGGUCUCUGGGCCGAUACUGACGCUGAGGAGCGAAAGCGUGGGGAGCGAACAGG